rnacentral:rRNA from 1 species
AUUGAACGCUGGCGGCAUGCCUUACACAUGCAAGUCGAACGGCAGCACGGGUGCUUGCACCUGGUGGCGAGUGGCGAACGGGUGAGUAAUAUAUCGGAACGUACCUUAUUGUGGGGGAUAACGCAGCGAAAGCUGUGCUAAUACCGCAUAAUCCCUAAGGGGGAAAGCGGGGGACCGUAAGGCCUCGCGCAAUUAGAGCGGCCGAUACCUGAUUAGCUAGUUGGUGAGGUAAAGGCUCACCAAGGCAACGAUCAGUAGCUGGUCUGAGAGGACGAUCAGCCACACUGGGACUGAGACACGGCCCAGACUCCUACGGGAGGCAGCAGUGGGGAAUUUUGGACAAUGGGGGCAACCCUGAUCCAGCAAUGCCGCGUGAGUGAAGAAGGCCUUCGGGUUGUAAAGCUCUUUUGUCAGGGAAGAAACAGCAGCUCUAACACAGUAUGCGAAUGACGGUACCUGAAGAAUAAGCACCGGCUAACUAUGUGCCAGCAGCCGCCGUAA